UACAGAGGUCCCAAGCGUUGUUCGGAUUCGCUGGGCGUAAAGGGUGCGCAGGUGGGUUUGCAAGUUCGAUGUGAAAGCCCCGGGCUUAACCCGGGAAUGGCAUUGGAUACUGCAGAUCUGGAGGAUCGGAGGGGGGACUGGAAUUCUUGGUGUAGCAGUGAAAUGCGUAGAUAUCAAGAGGAACACCAGUGGCGAAGGCGAGUCCCUGGACGAUACCUGACACUGAGGCACGAAAGCUAGGGGAGCAAACAGG
rnacentral:rRNA from 1 species